AUUGAACGCUGGCGGAAUGCUUUACACAUGCAAGUCGAGCGGCAGCGCGGUCUUCGGACUGGCGGCGAGCGGCGAACGGGUGAGUAAUACAUCGGAACAUGCCCAGUCGUGGGGGAUAACACUUCGAAAGAAGUGCUAAUACCGCAUACGUCCUGAGGGAGAAAGCGGGGGAUCGCAAGACCUCGCGCGAUUGGAGUGGCCGAUGUCAGAUUAGCUAGUUGGUGGGGUAAAGGCCUACCAAGGCAACGAUCUGUAGCUGGUCUGAGAGGAUGAUCGGCCACACUGGGACUGAGACACGGCCCAGACUCCUACGGGAGGCAGCAGUGGGGAAUUUUGGACAAUGGGGGCAACCCUGAUCCAGCCAUUCCGCGUGAGUGAAGAAGGCCUUCGGGUUGUAAAGCUCUUUCGGCAGGAACGAAACGGCGAGCUCUAACAUAGCUCGCUAAUGACGGUACCUGAAGAAGAAGCACCGGCUAACUACGUGCCAGCCGCCGCAGUAACAC
rnacentral:rRNA from 1 species